UGCAGAGUUCGCUCAUUCAGCCCCGCAGCUGCACAAGGCACCAGAGUGCAUGCAAACUGCACCUUCACAAAUGACUCUGAUCCCCAGGAUGUUAACAGGGUUAGAUUGUACCGUGUGUUCAGAGACCUGUCUAAUGGCAUCAACACUCUAGGACCAUAUUCACUGGAUAGUAACAGCCUCUAUGUGAACGGUUACAAUGAACCAUCACCUACAACCA